GUAGUCGUAGCCGAGUGGUUGGGCGAUGGACUAGAAAUCCAUUAGGGGUCUCCGCCGAGCAGGUUCGAAUCCUGCCGACUACG